CCAUGCAAGUCUCAGUACGAGCUUACUUAAAGUGAAACCGCAAAAGGCUCAGUAAACCGGUCAUAGUUUACCGGAUAAAUGCCACUCACGUGGAUAACUGUGGUAAUUCUAGAGCUAAUACAUGCAAACAAGUCCCGACCAGCGAUGGAGAGGACGCUUUUAUUAGAUCAAAACCAUUCGCCCGGCCUGCCGGGCGUCGGCUUGAUGACUCUAGAUAACACCACAGAUCGCACGGUCAUAGUACCGGUGACGUAUCCUUCAAAUGUCUGACUUAUCAGCUGUCGAUGGUAGACUCUGUGUCUACCAUGGCGCUCACGGGUGACGGGGAAUCAGGGUUCGAUUCCGGAGAGGGAGCCUGAGAAACGGCUACCACAUCCAAGGAAGGCAGCAGGCACGCAAAUUACCCACUCCCGGCACGGGGAGGUAGUGACAAAAAAUAACGAUACGGGACUCAUCCGAGGCCCCGUAAUCGGAAUGAGAACACUCUAAAUCCUUUAACGAAAAUCUAUUGGAGGGCAAGUCUGGUGCCAGCAGCCGCGGUAAUUCCAGCUCCAAUAGCGUAUAUUAAAGUUGUUGCGGUUAAGGGGACAGGCGGCUCUCAGCCGCACGAGAUUGAGCAAUAACAGGUCAGUGAUGCCCUUAGAUGUUCUGGGCCGCACGCGCGCUACACUGAAGGAAUCAGCGUGUGCUCCCCUGUCCGUAAGGACCGGGUAACCCGUUGAACCUCCUUCGUGCUAGGAAUUGGGGCUUGCAAUUGUUCCCCAUGAACGAGGAAUUCCCAGUAAGCACGAGUCAUAAGCUCGUGUUGAUUACGUCCCUGCCCUUUGUACACACCGCCCGUCGCUACUACCGAUUGAAUGAUUUAGUGAGGUCUUCGGACCGGCGAUAACCGGCACCGACUUUGCUCGGAAUCGAUUUCGCUGGAAAGAUGACCGAACUUGAUCAUUUAGAGGAAGUAAAAGUCGUAACAAGGUCUCCCUUGGCAAAUGCUUUCGCAAAAAGCUCGUAGUUGGUUCUGCGUGCCACGCUGUCGGUUCACCGCCUGCCGGUGCAACUGGCAUGCCGUGGCAUGUCCUGUCGGUGGCGGAUAGGCCCCGUUGCGUGCCCUAUGCGGUGAACACCGUGUAGGUUGCUGCGCAGCGGGUGUCCUUGUACGCCGGCUCAAUCCUACCGCGGUGCUCUUUACCGAGUGUCGAGGUAGGCCGACACUGUUUACUUUGAACAAAUUAGAGUGCUUAAAGCAGGCUCUUAAAUCAGCCUGAAUAGUGGUGCAUGGAAUAAUGGAACAGGACCUUGGUUCUAUUUUGUUGGUUUUCGGAAUCCAAGGUAAUGAUCAAUAAGGACAGGCGGGGGCAUUCGUAUUGCGACGUUAGAGGUGAAAUUCUUGGAUCGUCGCAAGACGCACUAAAGCGAAAGCAUUUGCCAAGUAUGUCUUAAUUGAUCAAGAACGAAAGUUAGAGGCUCGAAGGCGAUCAGAUACCGCCCUAGUUCUAACCAUAAACGAUGCCAGCCAGCGAUCCGCCGACGUUCCUUCGAUGACUCGGCGGGGGAGCUUUCCCCGGGRAAACCAAAGCUUUUGGUUCCGGGGGGAAGUAUGGUUGCAAAGCUGAAACUUAAAGGAAUUGACGGAAGGGCACUACCAGGAGUGGAGCCUGCGGUUUAAUUUGACUCAACACGGGAAAGCUCACCAGGCCCGGACAUUGGAAGGAUUGACAGAUCGAUAGCUCUUUCUCGAUUCAUUUGGGUAGUGGUGCAUGGCCGUUCGUAGUUGGUGGGCUGACUUGUCUGGUUAAUUCCGAUAACGAACGAGACUCUAACCUAUUAACUAGACGACACCGGUAUAGAAAGCUACCGGCGAGAUUUAUUCUUCUU
rnacentral:rRNA from 1 species